UGAGGGUCUAGUGGUUAGGAUUCGGCGCUCUCACCGCCGUGGCCCGGGUUCAAUUCCUGGUCA
rnacentral:tRNA from 1 species